rnacentral:rRNA from 1 species
CCUACGGGAGGCAGCAGUGGGGAAUAUUGCACAAUGGGGGAAACCCUGAUGCAGCGACGCCGCGUGAGUGAAGAAGUAUUUCGGUAUGUAAAGCUCUAUCAGCAGGGAAGAAGAAAGACGGUACUUGAUUAAGAAGCCCCGGCUAACUACGUGCCAGCAGCCGCGGUAAUACGUAGGGGGCAAGCGUCAUCCGUAUUUACUGGGUGUAAAGGGAGCGUAGGCGGUUGUGCAAGUCUGAGGUGAAAGCCCAGGGCUCAACCCUGGGAGUGCAUUGGAAACUGUGGAACUAGAGUGCUGGAGAGGUAAGUGGAAUUCCUGGUGUAGCGGUGAAAUGCGUAGAUAUAAGGAGGAACACCAGUGGCGAAGGCGGCUUACUGGUCAGUAACUGACGUUGAGGCUCGAAAGCGUGGGGAGCAAACAGGAUUAGAUACCCUUGUAGUC